rnacentral:rRNA from 1 species
AACGAACGCUGGCGGCAUGCCUAACACAUGCAAGUCGAACGAGACCUUCGGGUCUAGUGGCGCACGGGUGCGUAACGCGUGGGAACCUGCCCUUAGGUUCGGAAUAACUCCCCGAAAGGGGUGCUAAUACCGGAUAAUGUCUUCGGACCAAAGAUUUAUCGCCUUUGGAUGGGCCCGCGUUGGAUUAGCUAGUUGGUAGGGUAAAAGCCUACCAAGGCGACGUUCCAUAGCUGGUCUGAGAGGAUGAUCAGCCACACUGGGACUGAGACACGGCCCAGACUCCUACGGGAGGCAGCAGUGGGGAAUAUGGGACGAUGGGCGAAAGCCUGAUCCAGCAAUGCCGCGUGAGUGAGGAAGGCCUUAGGGUUGUAAAGCUCUUUUAACCGGGAUGAUAAUGACAGUACCGGGAGAAUAAGCUCCGGCUAACUCCGUG